AGCUUGUACAGGUGCUGCAUGGCUGUCGUCAGCUCGUGUCGUGAGAUGUUCGGUUAAGUCCGCUAACGAGCGCAACCCUCGCUGUGUGUUACAAGUGUCACACGGAACUGCCGGUCAUAAACCGGAGGAAGGUGGGGAUGACGUCAAGUCAGCAUGGCCUUUAUAUCCUGGGCUACACACACGCUACAAUGGGAAGGGACAAUAGGUUGCGAAGCCGCGAGGCGGAGCCAAUCCAGCAAAACUUCCCUCAGUUCAGAUUGCAGGCUGCAACUCGCCUGCAUGAAGUUGGAGUUGCUAGUAAACGCAGGUCAGCAUGCUGCGGUGAAUACGUUCCCGGGUCUU
rnacentral:rRNA from 1 species